UACGAAGGGGGCUAGCGUUGUUCGGAAUUACUGGGCGUAAAGCGCACGUAGGCGGACAUUUAAGUCAGGGGUGAAAUCCCGGGGCUCAACCCCGGAACUGCCUUUGAUACUGGGUGUCUAGAGUGUGGAAGAGGUGAGUGGAAUUCCGAGUGUAGAGGUGAAAUUCGUAGAUAUUCGGAAGAACACCAGUGGCGAAGGCGGCUCACUGGACCGUUGUUGACGCUGAGGUGCGAAAGCGUGGGGAGCAAACAGG
rnacentral:rRNA from 1 species